rnacentral:rRNA from 1 species
AAAUUGAAGAGUUUGAUCAUGGCUCAGAUUGAACGCUGGCGGCAGGCCUAACACAUGCAAGUCGAACGGUAACAGGAAGCAGCUUGCUGCUUCGCUGACGAGUGGCGGACGGGUGAGUAAUGUCUGGGAAAAUGCCGGGUGGGGGG